rnacentral:misc_RNA from 1 species
GCAAACUAGGUCAUUUAGAGGAAGUAAAAGUCGUAACAAGGUUUCCGUAGGUGAACCUGCGGAAGGAUCAUUAACGUAUCUACGACGGCGAGGGCGCGCCCAGCUCCGGACCGAAAGGCCGUGCAGCGGGCGCCCCGAGCCGCUCGACCCUUGCAAACCCUCGUGCACCAUUGUCGGCGCAAGGGCCCCCCAGCGGGGCCCCGAGCCGGAUCACAAACACUUUACUUUGAAGAACGAUCAGCGGACGAAGUGCCGCCUAAACUUUAAAACAACUUUCAACAACGGAUCUCUUGGCUCUCGCAUCGAUGAAGAACGCAGC